rnacentral:rRNA from 1 species
UACGAGGGGGGCGAGCGUUGUUCGGAAUUAUUGGGCGUAAAGGGUGCGUAGGCGGUUUGGUAAGUCUUGCGUGAAAUCUACAGGCUCAACUUGUAGUCUGCACGAGAAACUGCCGGGCUUGAGUAUGGGAGAGGUGAGUGGAAUUCCUGGUGUAGCGGUGAAAUGCGUAGAUAUCAGGAGGAACACCGAUGGCGAAGGCAGUUCUCUGGGCCGUAACUGACGCUGAGGAGCGAAAGCGUGGGGAGCGAACAGG